rnacentral:lncRNA from 10 species
CCUAUGAGGAAAACAAAGGCCAUGGAAUACAGAAUUGCUCACCAAAUUUAUGGCCUGAUGUCUGUGAUGCUGUGUGAUGGAAAGCACGUCCUUCACCAUAAGUUGCUUUUGUCUGUUUUUCAACAUUAGCAACAUGUAUGCAGCUAGAGGCCAUUAUCCUGAGUGAAUUAACACAGGAACAGAAAACUCCAGCCUGUGAGAUCACCCUCGGGGACUCUAUGAAGCUGCAGGGGUGGAGCUACCCAAAGCCUUGGGAGCCCACUCUUUGCAGCAGUGUAUCUUGGAUGUGGAACAUGGAGUCAAAGGAGGUUAUUUUGGAGCUUUAUGAUUUAAUGACUGCCCUGCUGUGUUUCAGAUUUGCAUGGGGCCUGUAGCCUCUUUCUUUUGGCUGAUUUCUUCAUUUGGGAAUGGGAAUGUUUACCUAAUGCCUAUAUCCCCAUUGUAUCUUAGAAGUAAAUAACUUGUUUUGAUUUUACUGGCUCAUGGGUGAAAGGGACUUGCCUUAUCUCAGGUGAGAUUUUGGAGUUUAGACUUUUGAGUUAAUGUUUGAAUAAAUUAAGUCUUUGGGGGACUAUUGGGAAAGCAUAAUUGUAUUUUGUAAUGUGAGAAGGACACGAGAUUUGGGGAGCCAGGGGUGGAAUAAAUAGUUUGGAUAUUUAGAUAUUUGUCCCCACCCAAAUCAUAUCAUAUCAUAUCACCCAAAUAUCAAGUUGAAAUGUAAUCCCAAUUUUCGAGGUGGGAGAUGUUUUGGUCAUGUGGGCAGAUCCUUUAAGACUUGGUGCUGUUCUUGCGCUGUUGAGUUCUUGUUAGAUCUGAUUGUUUAAAGUGUGUGGCACCUCCCCUACUCUCUCUCUCUCUCUCUCUCUCUCUCUAACUCUGUUUCUCUCUCUCUCUCUAACUCUGUUUCUCUCUCUCUCUCUCUCUCUCGCUCCUGCUUUCACCACAUGAUUUUCCUGCUCCCACUUCACUUUCUGCCAUGAUUGUAAGCUUUUUGAGGCCCUCACCAGAAGCUGAGCAGAUGCUGGUGCCAUGCUUAUAUGGCCUGCAGAACUGUAAUCCAAUUUAACCUCUUUUCUUUAUCAAUUACCCAGACUCAGAUAUUUCUUUGUAGCAACUCAAGAAUGGCCUAAAACAGGUACACAUGGACAGAAGUAUGGCAAGAAUAGACACUGGAAGCUACUAGAGAAGGAACAAAGUGAAGCAAAGGUCACAAAACUAUUGGGUGCUAGUCUCACUACCUGGUGACGGAAUCAUUUAUACCCCAAACCUCAACAUCAUACAAUAUAUUCAUGUAACAAAACUUUAGCAUCACACAAUAUACUCAUGUAAUAAACAAUACCCCUUGAAUCUAAAAUAAAAGUUGAAAUUUUAAAAAGAAAGCUAAAUUAAAAAAUUAACUAUUCAGUGAUAAUCAUGUUCAAAAUAACACAUCGAUGGAAUACUUAGUCUUAUUAUAAUGACUUAAUAUUCAUUAGAAAUGAAAUAUUAAAAUGAUAAUUGGCAUUUAGAAAUCUAUAAUCAUAAUUCAAUUAUUAAAGCAUACUGACUUUUUAUAAAUAUAACAUGUCAGAAAGUGCCAAUACAAUUAUUUGUUAACAAGAAAAAUUGAUAAAAUAAUAGAAGUGCUUUUUAUUAAAAAUAUGUAAUGAAUUUUAUUCAUCCUGUGAAAGCCCGUGUGGUUUUAUUUUUAGAUACUACAAAAAGCAUUUAUGUGAUC